rnacentral:rRNA from 1 species
UAUGUAGGGUGCAAGCGUUAAUCGGAAUUACUGGGCGUAAAGCGUGCGCAGGCGGUUAUGUAAGACAGGUGUGAAAUCCCCGGGCUUAACCUGGGAACUGCAUUUGUGACUGCAUAGCUAGAGUACGGUAGAGGGGGAUGGAAUUCCGCGUGUAGCAGUGAAAUGCGUAGAUAUGCGGAGGAACACCGAUGGCGAAGGCAAUCCCCUGGACCUGUACUGACGCUCAUGCACGAAAGCGUGGGGAGCAAACAGG